CACCAAAAAUAGGCUCAUGGAUCAAGAAUCUAUGGGAAUUGGGGUGUGUGUUGUGUUGACGCUUAUCCUUCUAACUUCAAAGCUGGAUCUCAAUUCUGAACUCAAAACACUUAAAAUAGGAGAGAGAAGAGAACAGUGAAAUGACAUAGUUGCAUAGAUGGAGAGAGAGAGAAAGUGUGUUGUGUACUGUGUCAAGUGGCAGCAACAACAAAACAUCGCAUAACGACACACACACUUGUUUCUUGUUCUUCGCUCACCAACAUCAACACACUCCCACACUCACCACUCACCACCGCUUCUUCUACCGUCUCUCUUCUUUCUUUUUUAGUCUCUCUUCAACAACAAAAACCAAAAGAUAUCUUUUUUAAUCUUCGAUUAUACGAUUAUGGGUAGUUUUGAAGCCACGAAUGUUGUGGUGGCCAGAAUCAACAAGCUUGACCCUGAGAAUGCAUCAAAGAUCAUUGGCCACAUUCUCUUCAACCUUCAAGAACCUGACCUUGUUCGCUUGGCUUCAACCCCUGACUAUGUCCUUCAUAACCUUGUUCUCAGAAUCAAAACCCACUUGGGACUCUCUUCUUCUUCACCUUCUUCACCUUCUAACACCAUUCUCAACAACCAUUUACCACCAAGACACCCCACUACUUCUCCUGCUACCACCCCAAACAACAACAACAGCAGCAGCAACAACCCCUUUUCACGCUUCAGUGCUGGUAACAACCUACUUCCUGGGUUACCAAACAACCCCAUUAGCCCAAAUUCAAGUUUUUCAGUCUCUCGUGACAGUAUCUAUGGUGGGUCUGUGUCAAAAUCUAAACUUUCACUUUCACCUCGUGUGAGGAGUGAUGGUGCUGGUGACUCUUUUGUUGAUGAGCAAGAAAUGGGUGAUUACCUUUCUUUUCUCAACGAGUCACUGAAUAAUAAUAAGGAUAAUGAGGAUGCUGUGGAUCCAAUUAGGCUUGAUUUGGGUCAUGGUGCUGUCAACAACAAUGGUGAUGGCCACUUCUUCCAUAGGAGGAGUUACUCUGCUAGUGACGCGUUCUUUGGGGUGCCUGAUGAAGAAGUGGGAAUUGGGUACAAACCAUGUCUUUACUUUGCAAGAGGGUUCUGCAAAAAUGGAACCAACUGCAACUUUGUUCAUCAUCAUGAUGCUGUGGACAACGCUGCCAUUGUUGAUUCUCCAACUAUGGAAGAGCAUGAGGCUCUUAUGAGUUUGAAGGCUGCACACCAUCAAAGAUUAAUGGCUGCUUCUCAGCUCAUGUCUGCUGGUGCUGCACCAACCCCAAUGGACAAAUACAUUAACUUUUCCAUGCUGCGAAGGAAUGAUCCACAAAGGGCAGCUGCUGCAGCAGCAGUCAUGACGGCGGAAGAAUUUAACAGGUUUGCCAGGUACAGGCAGGAGAGCAUUGACAUUCUAGGUAUUGCAUCGGCUGAAAGGCCUAAUUCUCCUUCGAGGCAGAUUUAUUUAACGUUUCCGGCGGAAAGCACAUUUAAAGAUGAAGAUGUUUCAGAAUACUUCAGCAAAUUUGGACCCGUGCAUGAUGUGAGGAUUCCUUACCAGCAAAAGCGAAUGUUUGGGUUUGUUACAUUUGUCUAUUCGGAGACAGUGAGACUCAUAUUAUCCAAAGGGAAUCCCCAUUUCAUCUGCGAUUCCCGUGUACUUGUCAAGCCCUACAAGGAGAAGGGAAAAAUUGUUGAGAAGAGACAACAUCAACCACCACAUAUAGAGAGGGUAGAACUCUCGCCAUGUUUGAGCCCCUCCGAACUUGAAUUUAAAGCCCCUCAUGAUUUCCGUCUUGGAGCACGAAUGUUGUAUAAUCCACAGGAGAUCUUGCUGAGAAGAAAAUUGGAGGAGCAGGUUGACUUUCAGCAAGCCAUUGAACUCCAGGAAAGAAGGCUGAUGAAUCUACACCUUCCGGACUUUAAGAAUAAUCACCUUUGCCAUCACCAGCGAAGUCUCUCUUUCGGCGCCACUUUGCCAUCAUCUCAACUUCAAGGUCAUAUUAGCAGUCCAAGGCUUUAUUCCGAUAGCAUCAGAGAAGAUAUGACAGGAUUCACCGGCAGCCUUGUUUCUACGGCCAUGGCUUCAGCUGCUGCUGUUGCGCCGCAACAGCAAGAAGUUGAUUUGGCUAGAAUCCAUGAUAACUGCAGCAGGAACGGAAAGGACGGCUCUCAGGAUGAAAUCAUAGAUGUUCAAAAUAGCAUCGAGCAUGCCCUUCCGGAUAGCCUCUUUACUUCGCCAACAAAAGCAACCAGGGAUGAUCCGGCAGACUUCUCUUCAUUGGCCGAGGUCAACGAGAGUGCCGUGUUCUCCACAUGCUCAUCAUCUCAGAUCAAGUUAGAACCAAAAAGCGCUUUAAGUGACAUGGCUUCUCAUUAAUAUUCACCAAAUCUAAGGUAAUAAAUAAAUAUAGAAGUGGCAUUGUGAUAACUUUAUUAGAGAUUUGUAGAAGCAUACAGAAGGAUGAAUACUCUAGAUGUAUAUGCAAAUACACCUAGGUUAAAAAAGAUUAGAUCCUAACAGCAAGAAAUACAAUAUUUGAUACUACUAGGACAGACAUAUAUCACUUUAUAAAAGUAAUUAUCUUUUUUCUCUAUUUUUUCUUUUUGCACUAAACUGAGGCACAACAAAGUACUAUAGAUUUUUACCUUAAUGUAUAAUAAAUAUACAACUCUUUUGAUA